AGAACUGGUCCGAACUGGCUGAAUCCCACCUCUGCUGUCACCCCAUUGAUCGCCAGAGUUGAUUCAGCUGAUCUGGCUGGCUAGGCAGGUGUUUCCUUC
rnacentral:snRNA from 1 species